AAAAUCUACUAGCCACCGCCAACCCCAGCCAUCGCCCACCCCAGACUUCGCCGCCGCCGUCACUGCUGGUUCCGCCGCUCCUCCACCACCGGUUCCACCUCUCCGCCACCGAACAAAGGAAGAGAUAAAGAGUGGAGGCUGAGGCAUCAUCUUCCCGACCGGGGGCCGAGGCCGUGGCAAAGAGCCACACAUCUUCACGUUAGCCGAGGGGUCCACUUCGACCUAGACCACCGAGGCCACUGAGCCGACUUCCGAGACUCCACAGUACGGGGGUUUUUGACACAAUGAGGCCUGUGUACGGUGAGACAUCUAAUCUGUACACCAAGACCUACUACACCCGGACUCCCUUGGUAGAGUGAGCAGCAGAUCUAAUCGACAUUCAGUGAAACGCUAUUGGAGGGUUCCAGAUCUCCUUGAGUUCCAGGGCUGGGGGGAGACGGUCUUCGAAACCAUUCUUGUUGUGACCGAUAUAUUUUGCGAGUUCUACAUGAACAUUCGCGAGGGUGGAGACGACUACUUCGAGACGUGGCUCCGAGGCAAGCCUAUCCGGGUGGACGCAAACCUAAUUAACGCUAUCACCUGCACUUCGAGGGUGCCCGACUCGGUGUACCUAUGGCCUGUAGCAGAUAGACGUCUCCGCUCUACAGUAGGAGACUAUUUCGCGGAGGGACGCCCCCACAGUGUGGGCUUUGAGGGGGUUGGAGGAUUCACUCUCAAUAUGCUGUCAAUGGAGACUCAGCUAGUCUACCGCCUCAUAGCCAACUGUGUGCAUCCGCCUCAUACCACCUCUAUGCUGUGUUGACCCGCGUGCCCAUAUAUGUUGCCUAACCAAGGAAAAUGACAAAGCAUUUGCUAUUGAUGUCAAUAAAGCUAGUAACAAGUUCAAAGGCAAGGCCAGAAGGGUGAGGACACUCAAUGGGUUAAUGGUGGACCUUGUAAACCCUGAACUGUCCACGGAUGAUUGUGUUGGAGUUUUUUCUCCUGCAAAUUUCAG